AACGAACGCUGGCGGCGCGCCUAAUACAUGCAAGUCGAGCGAGAAGACGUAGCGAAUACGUUUGUAAAGCGGCGAACGGGUGAGGAAUACAUGGGUAACCUACCCUCGAGUGGGGAAUAACUAGCCGAAAGGUUAGCUAAUACCGCGUACGCUCCUUGGACUUCGGUUCAGGGAGGAAAGCGAUACCGUGGGUAUCGCACUCUUGGAUGGGCUCAUGUCCUAUCAGCUUGUUGGUGAGGUAACGGCUCACCAAGGCUUCGACGGGUAGCUGGUCUGAGAGGACAAUCAGCCACACUGGCACUGCGACACGGGCCAGACUCCUACGGGAGGCAGCAGUAGGAAUAUUGCGCAAUGGGCGAAAGCCUGACGCAGCGACGCCGCGUGGGGGAUGAAGGU
rnacentral:rRNA from 1 species